AGUAACCUGCCUUGGAGUGGGGAAUAACACAUCGAAAGAUGUGCUAAUACCGCAUAAUGCAGUUGGGCCGCAUGGCUCUGACUGCCAAAGAUUUAUCGCUCUGAGAUGGACUCGCGUCUGAUUAGCUGGUUGGCGGGGUAACGGCCCACCAAGGCGACGAUCAGUAGCCGGACUGAGAGGUUGGCCGGCCACAUUGGGACUGAGACACGGCCCAGACUCCUACGGAAGGCAGCAG
rnacentral:rRNA from 1 species